rnacentral:rRNA from 1 species
GACGAACGCUUGCGGCGUGCCUAAUACAUGCAAGUAGAACGCUGAAGAGAGGAGCUUGCUCUUCUUGGAUGAGUUGCGAACGGGUGAGUAACGCGUAGGUAACCUGCCUUGUAGCGGGGGAUAACUAUUGGAAACGAUAGCUAAUACCGCAUAACAAUGGAUGACACAUGUCAUUUAUUUGAAAGGGGCAAUUGCUCCACUACAAGAUGGACCUGCGUUGUAUUAGCUAGUAGGUGAGGUAAUGGCUCACCUAGGCGACGAUACAUAGCCGACCUGAGAGGGUGAUCGGCCACACUGGGACUGAGACACGGCCCAGACUCCUACGGGAGGCAGCAGUAGGGAAUCUUCGGCAAUGGGGGCAACCCUGACCGAGCAACGCCGCGUGAGUGAAGAAGGUUUUCGGAUCGUAAAGCUCUGUUGUAAGUCAAGAGCGGGUGUGAGAGUGGAAAGUUCACACUGUGACGGUAGCUUACCAGAAAGGGACGGCUAACUACGUGCCAGCAGCCGCGGUAAUACGUAGGUCCCGAGCGUUGUCCGGAUUUAUUGGGCGUAAAGCGAGCGCAGGCGGUUUGAUAAGUCUGAAGUUAAAGGCUGUGGCUCAACCAUAGUUCGCUUUGGAAACUGUCAAACUUGAGUGCAGAAGGGGAGAGUGGAAUUCCAUGUGUAGCGGUGAAAUGCGUAGAUAUAUGGAGGAACACCGGUGGCGAAAGCGGCUCUCUGGUCUGUAACUGACGCUGAGGCUCGAAAGCGUGGGGAGCGAACAGGAUUAGAUACCCUGGUAGUCCACGCCGUAAACGAUGAGUGCUAGGUGUUGGAUCCUUUCCGGGAUUCAGUGCCGCAGCUAACGCAUUAAGCACUCCGCCUGGGGAGUACGACCGCAAGGUUGAAACUCAAAGGAAUUGACGGGGGCCCGCACAAGCGGUGGAGCAUGUGGUUUAAUUCGAAGCAACGCGAAGAACCUUACCAGGUCUUGACAUCCCGAUGCUAUUUCUAGAGAUAGAAAGUUACUUCGGUACAUCGGUGACAGGUGGUGCAUGGUUGUCGUCAGCUCGUGUCGUGAGAUGUUGGGUUAAGUCCCGCAACGAGCGCAACCCCUAUUGUUAGUUGCCAUCAUUCAGUUGGGCACUCUAGCGAGACUGCCGGUAAUAAACCGGAGGAAGGUGGGGAUGACGUCAAAUCAUCAUGCCCCUUAUGACCUGGGCUACACACGUGCUACAAUGGUUGGUACAACGAGUUGCGAGUCGGUGACGGCGAGCUAAUCUCUUAAAGCCAAUCUCAGUUCGGAUUGUAGGCUGCAACUCGCCUACAUGAAGUCGGAAUCGCUAGUAAUCGCGGAUCAGCACGCCGCGGUGAAUACGUUCCCGGGCCU